rnacentral:tRNA from 1 species
GUGGGGCUGUGGCUCAGUGGUAGAGCGCUUGCCUGGCAUGUGUGAGGCCUUGGGUUUGAUCCUCAGCACCACA